rnacentral:rRNA from 1 species
AACGAACGCUGGCGGCAGGCUUAACACAUGCAAGUCGAGCGCCCCGCAAGGGGAGCGGCAGACGGGUGAGUAACGCGUGGGAAUCUACCCAUCUCUACGGAAUAACGCAUGGAAACGUGUGCUAAUACCGUAUACGUCCUUCGGGAGAAAGAUUUAUCGGAGAUGGAUGAGCCCGCGUUGGAUUAGCUAGUUGGUGGGGUAAAGGCCUACCAAGGCGACGAUCCAUAGCUGGUCCGAGAUGAUGAUCAGCCACACUGGGACUGAGACACGGCCCAGCCUCCUACGGGAGGCAGCAGUGGGGAAUAUUGGACAAUGGGCGCAAGCCUGAUCCAGCCAUGCCGCGUGAGUGAUGAAGGCCUUAGGGUUGUAAAGCUCUUUCACCGGUGAAGAUAAUGACGGUAACCGAAGAAGAAGCCCCGGCUAACUUCGUGCCAGCAGCCGCCGUAACAC